CCUACGGGAGGCUGCAGUAGGGAAUAUUGCUCAAUGGGGGAAACCCUGAAGCAGCAACGCCGCGUGGAGGAUGAAGGUUUUCGGAUUGUAAACUCCUUUUGUUAGAGAAGAUAAUGACGGUAUCUAACGAAUAAGCACCGGCUAACUCCGUGCCAGCAGCCGCGGUAAUACGGAGGGUGCAAGCGUUACUCGGAAUCACUGGGCGUAAAGAGCGCGGAGGCGGGAUAUCAAGUAAGAUGUGAAAUCCUAUGGCUUAACCAUAGAACUGCAUUUGAAACUGUUAUUCUAGAGUAUGGGAGAGGUAGGGGGAAUGCUUGGGGGAGGGGUAAAAUCCGUAGAGAUCAAGAGGAAUA
rnacentral:rRNA from 1 species